rnacentral:rRNA from 1 species
CGGCAACAGCUCAAAUUUGAAAUCUGGCCUCUUUGGGGUCCGAGUUGUAAUUUGGAGAGGAUGUUUCGGGUACGGUCCGGGCUUAUAUUUCUUGGAACAGAAUGUCAUAGAGGGUGAGAAUCCCGUCUGGAGCUCGGACACGGCCUAUGUGAAACUCCUUCGACGAGUCGAGUUGUUUGGGAAUGCAGCUCUAAAUGGGUGGUAAAUUUCAUCUAAAGCUAAAUAUUGGCCAGAGACCGAUAGCGCACAAGUAGAGUGAUCGAAAGAUGAAAAGCACUUUGAAAAGAGAGUUAAAAAGUACGUGAAAUUGUUGAAAGGGAAGCGCUGGCAACCAGACUUGCAUGUCGGGGUUCCCCCUUGCUUUUGCCUGGGUUACUCCCCGGCGUUCAGGCCAACAUCGGUUUCGGGGGUUGGUUAAAGGCCCUAGGAAUGUACUUACCCUCCGGGGUAAACUUAUAGCCUAGGGUGUCAUGCGACCUCCCGGGACCGAGGAACGCGCUUCGGCUCGGAUGUUGGCGUAAUGGUUGUCAGCGACCCGUCUUGAAACACGGACCAAGGAGUCUAACAUCUAUGCGAGUGUUAGGGUGUCAAACCCUUACGCGGAAUGAAAGUGAACGGAGGUAGGAAGCCGUUAGGCUGCACUAUCGACCGAUCCUGAAGUUUACGGAUGGAUUUGAGUAAGAGCAUAGCUGUUGGGACCCGAAAGAUGGUGAACUAUGCCUGAAUAGGGUGAAGCCAGAGGAAACUCUGGUGGAGGCUCGCA